rnacentral:rRNA from 1 species
CCUACGGGAGGCAGCAGUGAGGAAUAUUGGUCAAUGGACGAGAGUCUGAACCAGCCAAGUAGCGUGAAGGAUGACUGCCCUAUGGGUUGUAAACUUCUUUUAUAAAGGAAUAAAACGCGGCAUGUGUGCAUUUUUGCAUGUACUUUAUGAAUAAGGAUCGGCUAACUCCGUGCCAGCAGCCGCGGUAAUACGGAGGAUCCGAGCGUUAUCCGGAUUUAUUGGGUUUAAAGGGAGCGUAGUUGGGUUGUUAAGUCAGUUGUGAAAGUGUGCGGCUCAACCGUAAAAUUGCAAUUGAUACUGGCAGUCUUGAGUACGGUUGAGGUAGGCGGAAUUCGUGGUGUAGCGGUGAAAUGCGUAGAUAUCACGAAGAACCCCGAUUGCGAAGGCAGCUUACUAGACUGUGACUGACAUUGAUGCUCGAAAGUGUGGGUAUCAAACAGGAUUAGAUACCCGGGUAGUC